UGAGGAAUUUUGGGCAAUGGGCGAAAGCCUGACCCAGCGACGCCGCGUGGAGGAUGAAGGCCUUCGGGUCGUAAACUCCUGUUCUGGGGGAAGAAAACGGGAUGCGUGAAGAAUUCAUCCCGCUGACGGUACCCCAGGAGAAAGCUCCGGCUAAUUACGUGCCAGCAGCCGCGGUAAUACGUAAGGAGCAAGCGUUGUCCGGAUUUACUGGGCGUAAAGAGCU
rnacentral:rRNA from 1 species